AUACGUAGGGAGCGAGCGUUGUCCGGAAUUACUGGGCGUAAAGGGCGCGUAGGCGGCGCUUCAAGUCGUCUGUCAAAUGGGAGGGCUUAACCCUUUUUCGCAGACGAAACUGGAGAGCUUGAGAAGCAGAGAGGCAAACAGAAUUCCUGGUGUAGCGGUGAAAUGCGUAGAUAUCAGGAAGAAUACCAGUGGCGAAGGCGGUUUGCUGGCUGCAUACUGACGCUGAAGCGCGAAAGCCAGGGGAGCAAACGGGAUUAGAUACCCCGGUAGUCCUGGCAGUAAACGAUGUAUGCUGGGUGUGAGACUAGCGAUAGUUUCGUGCCGAAGUUAACGCGAUAAGCAUACCGCCUGGGGAGUACGGUCGCAAGGUUGAAACUCAAAGGAAUGGGCGGGG
rnacentral:rRNA from 1 species